ACGUAGGUAACCUGCCCCGGAGCGGGGGAUAACAUUUGGAAACAGAUGCUAAUACCGCAUAACAACAAAAGCCACAUGGCUUUUGUUUGAAAGAUGGCUUUGGCUAUCACUCUGGGAUGGACCUGCGGUGCAUUAGCUAGUUGGUAAGGUAACGGCUUACCAAGGCGAUGAUGCAUAGCCGAGUUGAGAGACUGAUCGGCCACAAUGGAACUGAGACACGGUCCAUACUCCUACGGGAGGCAGCAGUAGGGAAUCUUCCACAAUGGGCGCAAGCCUGAUGGAGCAACACCGCGUGAGUGAAGAAGGGUUUCGGCUCGUAAAGCUCUGUUGUUGGAGAAGAACGUGCGUGAGAGUAACUGUUCACGCAGUGACGGUAUCCAACCAGAAAGUCACGGCUAACUACGUGCCAGCAGCCGCGGUAAUACGUAGGUGGCAAGCGUUAUCCGGAUUUAUUGGGCGUAAAGCGAGCGCAGGCGGUUGCUUAGGUCUGAUGUGAAAGCCUUCGGCUUAACCGAAGAAGUGCAUCGGAAACCGGGCGACUUGAGUGCAGAAGAGGACAGUGGAACUCCAUGUGUAGCGGUGGAAUGC
rnacentral:rRNA from 1 species